rnacentral:rRNA from 1 species
UACGAAGGGGGCUAGCGUUGCUCGGAAUCACUGGGCGUAAAGGGCGCGUAGGCGGCCGUUCAAGUCGGGGGUGAAAGCCUGUGGCUCAACCACAGAAUUGCCUUCGAUACUGUUUGGCUUGAGACCGGAAGAGGUAAGUGGAACUGCGAGUGUAGAGGUGAAAUUCGUAGAUAUUCGCAAGAACACCAGUGGCGAAGGCGGCUUACUGGUCCGGUUCGUGACGCUGAGGCGCGAAAGCGUGGGGAGCAAACAGG